GCUCCAGUGGUGCAAUCGGUUAGCGUGUGGUACUUAGUAGUACAUAAGAGGGCAAUGCCAAGGUUGUGUGUUCAAGCCUCACCUGGAGCA